UGUGCAUGCCUGAUCAUACCAGCACUAAUGCACCGGAUCC
rnacentral:rRNA from 1 species